AUCAAGCUGACGACUCUCAAAUAGGACGAAACGCGCGUUCUGGAU
rnacentral:hammerhead_ribozyme from 1 species